UUUGGGGAUAAUUGGACGUUCAGGAUUGCGAACUCGGUCAGGGUUGGAAAAAAGCAGCCGUAGCAAAUACCGGAUGGGUCAAUUAUCCCAAUAGAA
rnacentral:SRP_RNA from 1 species